rnacentral:rRNA from 1 species
AUUGAACGCUGGCGGCGGGCCUAACACAUGCAAGUCGAACGAGUGGCGGACGGGUGAGUCAUGUCUGGGAAACUGCCUGAUGGAUGGGGAUAACUACUGGCAACGGUAGCUAAUACCGCAUACCAUCAGAUGUUCCCAGAUGGGAUUAGCUAGUUGGUGGGGUAAAGGAUCACCAAGGCGCCGGUCCCUAGCUGGUCUGAGAGGAUGACCAGCCAAUCUGGAACUGAGACACGGUCCAGACUCCUACGGGAGGGAACAGUGGGGAAUAUUGCACAAUGGGCGCAAGCCUAAUGAAGCCAUGCCGCGUGUAUGAAGAAGUCCUUCGGGUUGGAAAGUACUUUCAGCGGGGAGGCGUUACCGGCAGAAGAAGCACCGGCUAACUCCGUGCCAGCAGCCGCGGUAAUUC